UAACGAAUCUUCCGCAAUGGGCGAAAGCCUGACGGAGCAAUGCCGCGUGUGGGAUGAAGCGCCUUCGGCGUGUAAACCACUGUCAGGGAAUGGAACCAAUGAUUAUUCCCAAAGGAAGUGGCGACUAACUCUGUGCCAGCAGUCGCGGUAAUACAGAGGCCACAAGCGUUAGUCGGAAUCACUGGGCUUAAAGGGUGCGUAGGCGGGCCCGCAAGCGUCUUGUGAAAUCCCAUGGCUCAACCAUGGAAUUGCAGGGCGAACUGCGGGUCUUGAGGCAGGUAGGGGCCGGAAGAACAGUAGGUGGAGCGGUGAAAUGCGUAGAUAUCGGAAGGAACAUCGGUGGCGAAGGCGUCUACCUGGCCUAAUACUGACACUGAGGCACGAAAGCGUGGGGAGCAAACAGGAUUAGAUACCCUUGUAGUCCCUGAGCGGGCUGGCAAGGCGCAU
rnacentral:rRNA from 1 species